CGAAUAAGAGGGUUACGGUUACAGAAGGGGGCAUAAACAUCUUCAGGCUUUGGUUGCUGGGAACUCCUUGCUCUGUCUGUCUUUCUCCACCCCCCAAAUCCUCUGCUUUCUUUCCCAUCUCUUCCUCUCCCUGCUCCUUCUUUCCUUCUUCAGGGUGGGUUAGGCUGGAGGAAGAGGAGGGUUAACCAUCUCUUUCUCACCCCUCCCCAUACCUCCUAGGGGCCCUGCAGGCCAGAGCACAGGCACUCUGGGCAGCUGGGUGAAGCUCAUCCGGGCAGGCCUUCCCUGGGUACUGCCUUUCCCCUGAGUCCUACAGCAGGCCCAAGCUUCACUUUCAGGUUUCUGUCAGCUUCUCUAACCAGAUUUCUGUUUCCCUUCCUGGGCUGCUGGGAAUCUGGUGAGGGAGAGUCUGUGUUGUGUCCCGUGAGCCUCACAGAGAUGUUCAGUUCUUGGGAUCGCCGGGAGCGGCCCCCAGAGGAAGGAGCAGCUGCAGGGCUCCAGGGCUUCGGAGUGGACAAGACCUUCCUGUCUUCCCUCAAAGGCAUCCUGCUGGAAACUGAGCUGGCCCUGACCUUCAUCAUCUUCAUUUGCUUCACGGCCUCCAUCUCUGCCUACAUGGCUGCAGCGUUGCUUGAGUUCUUCAUCACACUGGCCUUCCUCUUCCUCUACGCCACGCAGUACCACCAGCGCUUCGAUCGGCUUAACUGGCCUUGUCUGGACUUCCUCCGGUGUCUCAGCGCCAUCAUCAUCUUCCUGGUGGUCUCCUUUGCUGCUGUGACCUCGAGGGAGGGAGCUGCCAUUGCUGCUUUUGUGAGUCCAUUCCUACAGUGCUCUCCAGCACCCAGGAUGUGUGGCUGCUAUUGGCACACUUCCUGUGCCCAAAACAAAGCCUGUGCCUGCUCAUAUAUCAUUCCCUCACUUCUGGUCCCAUUCCCCCUCCCCACUCCUCUAGUCUGAUGGCCUCUGCUGCCCCACCCCCAUCCCUUUCCACAGGUUUUUGGCAUCAUCUUGGUCUCUGUCUUUGCCUAUGAUGCAUUCAAGAUCUACCGAACUGAGUUGAUGCCCAGGACCACAGAGGGGGACCAGCAGUGAUUCCAGGGUUCCCUGGCUCCCAUGACCAGACACAAGGAACCGUGGAGCCCAUCUUUGUCAUCUUUGAAUUCACUGAACCCCAACUGCCCACCAUCUACUCCGUGUCUUCAGAGAUGUGUGCAUGAGAUGUCCCAGAGAUCUGUGGGAAGUGGUGAAGUUCUGGGGGUUGGGGCAGGUUGCUGUGCUUCCAAGUCACUCCCAAAUUA